GAUGAACGCUGGCGGCGUGCCUAAUACAUGCAAGUCGAGCGAACAGACGAGGAGCUUGCUCCUCUGACGUUAGCGGCGGACGGGUGAGUAACACGUGGAUAACCUACCUAUAAGACUGGGAUAACUUCGGGAAACCGGAGCUAAUACCGGAUAAUAUAUUGAACCGCAUGGUUCAAUAGUGAAAGACGGUUUUGCUGUCACUUAUAGAUGGAUCCGCGCCGCAUUAGCUAGUUGGUAAGGUAACGGCUUACCAAGGCAACGAUGCGUAGCCGACCUGAGAGGGUGAUCAGCCACACUGGAACUGAGACACGGUCCAGACUCCUACGGGAGGCAGCAGUAUGGAAUCUUCCGCAAUGGGCGAAAGCCUGACGGAGCAACGCCGCGUGAGUGAUGAAGGUCUUCGGAUCGUAAAACUCUGUUAUUAGGGAAGAACAAAUGUGUAAGCAACUAUGCACGUCUUGACGGUACCUAAUCAGAAAGCCACGGCUAACUACGUG
rnacentral:rRNA from 1 species